rnacentral:rRNA from 1 species
AGUGAACGCUGGCGGCGUGCUUAACACAUGCAAGUCGAACGAGAACGGAUUAUAGCUUGCUAUAAUUGUCAGCUAAGUGGCGCACGGGUGAGUAAUGUAUAGGUAAUAUGCCUCUUACUAAGGGAUAACAAAUGGAAACGUUUGCUAAUACCUUAUACUCCUUAUUAACAGAAGUUAAUAUGGGAAAGAUUUAUUGGUAAGAGAUUAGCCUGUAUUGUAUCAGUUAGUUGGUGGGGUAAUGGCUUACCAAGACUAUGACACAUAACUGGUUUGAGAGGAUGAUCAGUCACACUGGAACUGUGACACGGUCCAGACUCCUACGGGAGGCAGCAGUGGGGAAUAUUGCACAAUGGACGAAAGUCUGAUGCAGCAACGCCGCGUGGAGGAUGACACAUUUCGGUGCGUAAACUCCUUUUAUAUGAGAAGAUAAUGACGGUAUUAUAUGAAUAAGCACCGGCUAACUCCGUGCCAGCCGCCGCGGUAA